ensembl:lncRNA
AGGUAUUCACCCCCUUUACUAAUAAAUAAGAUCUGGUGCCAUAGGUAUUCACACCCUUUACUAAUAAAUAAGAUCUGGUGCCAUAGGUAUUCACCCCCUUUCCUAAUAAAUCAGAUCUGGUGCCAUAGGUAUUCACCCCCUUUACUAAUAAAUCAGAUCUGGUGCCAUAGGUAUUCACCCCCUUUACUAAUAAAUAAGAUCUGGUGCCAUAGGUAUUCACCCCCUUUACUAAUAAAUAAGAUCUGGUGCCAUAGGUAUUCACCCCCUUUCCUAAUAAAUCAGAUCUGGUGCCAUAGGUAUUCACACCCUUUACUAAUAAAUAAGAUCUGGUGCCAUAGGUAUUCACACCCUUUACUAAUAAAUAAGAUCUGGUGCCAUAGGUAUUCACCCCCUUUCUUAAUAAAUCAGAUCUGGUGCCAUAGGUAUUCACCCCCUUUACUAAUAAAUAAGAUCUGGUGCCAUAGGUAUUCACCCUCUUUACUAAUAAAUAAGAUCUGGUGCCAUAGGUAUUCACCCCCUUUCCUAAUAAAUAAGAUCUGGUGCCAUAGGUAUUCACCCCCUUUCCUAAUAAAUAAGAUCUGGUGCCAUAGGUAUUUACCCCCUUUACUAAUAAAUCAGAUCUGGUGCCAUAGGUAUUCACCCCCUUUACUAAUAAAUAAGAUCUGGUGCCAUAGGUAUUCACCCCCUUUACUAAUAAAUAAGAUCUGGUGCCAUAGGUAUUCACCCCCUUUCCUAAUAAAUAAGAUCUGGUGCCAUAGGUAUUCACCCCCUUUCCUAAUAAAUAAGAUCUGGUGCCAUAGGUAUUCACCCCCUUUACUAAUAAAUACAAUCUGGUGCCAUAGGUAUUCACCCCCUUUACUAAUAAAUAAGAUCUGGUGCCAUAGGUAUUCACCCCCUUUCCUAAUAAAUCAGAUCUGGUGCCAUAGGUAUUCACACCCUUUACUAAUAAAUAAGAUCUGGUGCCAUAGGUAUUCACACCCUUUACUAAUAAAUAAGAUCUGGUGCCAUAGGUAUUCACCCCCUUUCUUAAUAAAUCAGAUCUGGUGCCAUAGGUAUUCACCCCCUUUACUAAUAAAUCAGAUCUGGUGCCAUAGGUAUUCACCCCCUUUACUAAUAAAUAAGAUCUGGUGCCAUAGGUAUUCACCCUCUUUACUAAUAAAUAAGAUCUGGUGCCAUAGGUAUUCACCCCCUUUCCUAAUAAAUAAGAUCUGGUGCCAUAGGUAUUCACCCCCUUUCCUAAUAAAUAAGAUCUGGUGCCAUAGGUAUUUACCCCCUUUACUAAUAAAUCAGAUCUGGUGCCAUAGGUAUUCACCCCCUUUACUAAUAAAUAAGAUCUGGUGCCAUAGGUAUUCACCCCCUUUACUAAUAAAUAAGAUCUGGUGCCAUAGGUAUUCACCCCCUUUCCUAAUAAAUAAGAUCUGGUGCCAUAGGUAUUCACCCCCUUUCCUAAUAAAUAAGAUCUGGUGCCAUAGGUAUUCACCCCCUUUACUAAUAAAUACAAUCUGGUGCCAUAGGUAUUCACCCCCUUUACUAAUAAAUAAGAUCUGGUGCCAUAGGUAUUCACCCCCUUUACUAAUAAAUCAGAUCUGA